CCGGAGCGGAGGGAGACGCACACGCGGUGCGACGGCGCCGAUCGGGGAAGUUUCUGGGAGCGGAGCGUCCGCAAGGGAACAGCGCACCGAGUGGAAUUCCCCACCUGACGUGAAGUCGAUCCGGACUGACGGGACCCCCAGCUCCAUGUGGUAAUAAAACCCUUGAUGCAUGCUUGAAGAAACAUAUGAAGCUAUUAACUGUAUAAUUUUUGUGGUGAUUGCUUUACUAAUAUUCAUAGGAUGUUUGGCGUAUUAUCGCAGACAGUGUUUUGGUCGAUCGUUAUUGCCACCUUUAAUACUAAGGGAAACUCCUGUAGCCCCCUCCUCGAACUGAGGUGGCAAAAUGGAUUUAUAAUGUUAGGCCAACAAGUGGCCAAUGCUUUCAAUUUGACAAACUGUUGGGUACGUGGGAGUCCUUUAGGAUUUAGGGACUGGCCUUGGAUGUCAAAACCGAUAUCCCCAAGAUGGCUUGUAAGUGAUCUAAGUGCUGCAACGAUUGGCAAUAAUUCGCUAUAUUGGAAUGAGGAAAUGGAACCAUGGAAAAUCCAGUUUCUGGGAAAAGGAGAGUAUCGUCUUAAUCGUAAUGAUAGCAAUGGAGUUUUUGUGGGUCAUAGUAUAUGUAAUUGGACAUUUAAAUAUGGAGAUCACUGUAUCACCCCUGGGUGUCGACCCAUUAAUUGUUCAACUUAUGAUCGCUCCUCCUCCCAUUCUGUUGAAGGCGACAUGUUAUGGUGUUUGUAUUAUAACACCAAAGACGAAAAUCUCAUCCCUCGACAACAAAGGUGGGCAUGGGUCAAUGAAACCGGACAUAAAAACAAUUUGAUAGCUUUUGGUCUAGAACCAAACUUACAGGGGUCGUGAAAUUGGGGGAAGCUAAUUCUGUGACCUGUGCCAUAAGUGGUAUAGUUGGCCAAGCAGUCACCAUUAAAUGCAACUAUAUCAGUUGAAUAGGAGCAUGGAAAUGUAAUCUUUGGAUUAAUGGAGUAAAAUCAAACAGUCACAUUAAACGCCCUUUGGGUUUGAAAAACAGCACCUAUUUUGAGACUCGUUGUAAUUCUGAAGACAAAAAGGGAAGGGACCGUUUGCAAAUGGAACCUGGGCUAUAAACGUCACUAUUAGAUUUGUGGCCAUUAUGCAUAUCGAAAAUUACCAAAUAAUUGGAGUGGGACAUCUUAUGUAGGCUUUAUACGCCCCUUCUUUUUUUCUAUUGCCAGGCCAAAAAGGAAACAAUUUGGCAGUUAAGGUAUAUGAUGACCUAAAUCGACAUCAAUGGUCCAUUGAUAUUUCUAUGACAAAUGGAAGUAGCCAAUCCUGGGGUAAAAAUGAAUUGACACCCCAACGUAUCAUACAGUAUUAUGCACCUGCAGCUUGGAAUCGUAAUGAACACAUUAGUGGUGCUUGAGAACCUAUCUACAAUCUGAAUUGUAUCAUUCGUCUACAGGCUGUCUUGGAAAGCCCUUGACUUAUUGGCAGACCAAGCAACUCAAAUGCAAAACGCAAUUUAUCAAUACAGGAUGGUUCUCGAUUACCUGCUAGCUGAAGAAGGUGGUGUUUGUGGUAAAUUGAAUGUUUCCAAUUGUUGUUUGAAAAUUGA